rnacentral:rRNA from 1 species
AGUGAACGCUGGCGGCGUGCCUAACACAUGCAAGUCGAACGAGAAAUUUCCCGCUUGCGGGAGAAAGUAAAGUGGCGAACGGGUGAGUAACGCGUGGGUAACCUGCCCCUGAAUCUGGAAUAACUUCGCGAAAGCGAGGCUAAUACCGGAUAUUGUCCCAGGGACCGUGGUCUUUGUGAUGAAAGGUGACCUCUUCAAGAAAGUUGUCGUUCAGGGAGGGGCCCGCGUACCAUUAGCUAGUUGGUAGGGUAAUGGCCUACCAAGGCGAUGAUGGUUAGCUGGUCUGAGAGGAUGACCAGCCACACUGGCACUGAAACACGGGCCAGACUCCUACGGGAGGCAGCAGUGAGGAAUCUUGCGCGAUAGGGGAAACCCUGACGCAGCAACGCCGCGUGAGUGAAGAAGGCCUUCGGGUCGUAAAGCUCUGUCAAGUGGGAAAAAAGCUUACUGGUAAAUAGCCAGGAAGCCUGAUGGUACCAUUAAAGGAAGCACCGGCUAACUCCGUGCCAGCAGCCGCGGUAAUACGGAGGGUGCA